GGUUAAGUUAGAAAGGGCGCACGGUGGAUGCCUUGGCACUAGGAGCCGAUGAAGGACGGGACGAACACCGAUAUGCUUCGGGGAGCUGUAAGCAAGCUUUGAUCCGGAGAUUUCCGAAUGGGGAAACCCACUGCUCGUAAUGGAGUAGUAUCCAUACUUGAAUACAUAGAGUAUGAGAAGGCAUACCCGGGGAACUGAAACAUCUAAGUACCCGGAGGAAGAGAAAGCAAAUGCGAUUUCCUGAGUAGCGGCGAGCGAAACGGGAACAGCCCAAACCAAGAGGCUUGCCUCUUGGGGUUGUAGGACACUCUAUACGGAGUUACAAAGGAACGAUAUAAGCGAAGAGGUCUGGAAAGGCCCGCCAAAGAAGGUAACAGCCCUGUAACUGAAAUGUUGUUCUCUCCAGAGUGGAUCCUGAGUACGGCGGAACACGUGAAAUUCCGUCGGAAUCCGGGAGGACCAUCUCCCAAGGCUAAAUACUCCCUAGUGACCGAUAGUGAACCAGUACCGUGAGGGAAAGGUGAAAAGCACCCCGGAAGGGGAGUGAAAUAGAUCCUGAAACCGUGUGCCUACAAGUAGUCAGAGCCCGUUAACGGGUGAUGGCGUGCCUUUUGUAGAAUGAACCGGCGAGUUACGAUCCCGUGCAAGGUUAAGCAGAAGAUGCGGAGCCGCAGCGAAAGCGAGUCUGAAUAGGGCGCAUGAGUACGUGGUCGUAGACCCGAAACCAGGUGAUCUACCCAUGUCCAGGGUGAAGUUCAGGUAACACUGAAUGGAGGCCCGAACCCACGCACGUUGAAAAGUGCGGGGAUGAGGUGUGGGUAGGGGUGAAAUGCCAAUCGAACCUGGAGAUAGCUGGUUCUCUCCGAAAUAGCUUUAGGGCUAGCCUCAAGGUAAGAGUCUCGGAGGUAGAGCACUGAUUGGACUAGGGGCCCCUACCGGGUUACCGAAUUCAGUCAAACUCCGAAUGCCGAUGACUUAUCCUUGGGAGUCAGACUGCGAGUGAUAAGAUCCGUAGUCGAAAGGGAAACAGCCCAGACCGCCAGCUAAGGUCCCAAAGUAUACGUUAAGUGGAAAAGGAUGUGGAGUUGCUUAGACAACCAGGAUGUUGGCUUAGAAGCAGCCACCAUUUAAAGAGUGCGUAAUAGCUCACUGGUCGAGUGACUCUGCGCCGAAAAUGUACCGGGGCUAAACGUAUCACCGAAGCUGCGGACUGUUCUACGAACAGUGGUAGGAGAGCGUUCUAGUGCAGUGAAGUCAGACCGGAAGGACUGGUGGAGCGCUUAGAAGUGAGAAUGCCGGUAUGAGUAGCGAAAGACGGGUGAGAAUCCCGUCCACCGAAUGCCUAAGGUUUCCUGAGGAAGGCUCGUCCGCUCAGGGUUAGUCGGGACCUAAGCCGAGGCCGAAAGGCGUAGGCGAUGGACAACAGGUUGAUAUUCCUGUACCACCUCCUCACCAUUUGAGCAAUGGGGACGCAGGAGGAUAGGGUAAGCGCGGUAUUGAUAUCCGCGUCCAAGCAGUUAGGCUGGGAAAUAGGCAAAUCCGUUUCCCGUGAAGGCUGAGCUGUGAUGGCGAGCGAAAUUUAGUAGCGAAGUUCCUGAUUCCACACUGCCAAGAAAAGCCUCUAGCGAGGUGAGAGGUGCCCGUACCGCAAACCGACACAGGUAGGCGAGGAGAGAAUCCUAAGGUGAUCGAGAGAACUCUCGUUAAGGAACUCGGCAAAAUGACCCCGUAACUUCGGGAGAAGGGUGCUUCUUAGGGUGUUAAAGCCCCGAGAAGCCGCAGUGAAUAGGCCCAGGCGACUGUUUAGACGCGGCCGUAACUAUAACGGUCCUAAGGUAGCGAAAUUCCUUGUCGGGUAAGUUCCGACCCGCACGGGCUGGAAGGUUAAGAGGAGCGCUUAGCGUAAGCGAAGGUGCGAAUUGAAGCCCCAGUAAACGGCGGCCGUAACUAUAACGGUCCUAAGGUAGCGAAAUUCCUUGUCGGGUAAGUUCCGACCCGCACGAAAGGCGCAACGAUCUGGGCACUGUCUCAACGAGAGACUCGGUGAAAUUAUAGUACCUGUGAAGAUGCAGGUUACCCGCGACAGGACGGAAAGACCCCGUGGAGCUUUACUGCAGCCUGAUAUUGAAUGUUGGUACAGCUUGUACAGGAUAGGUAGGAGCCUUGGAAACCGGAGCGCUAGCUUCGGUGGAGGCAUCGGUGGGAUACUACCCUGGCUGUAUUGACCUUCUAACCCGCUGCCCUUAUCGGGCAGGGAGACAGUGUCAGGUGGGCAGUUUGACUGGGGCGGUCGCCUCCUAAAAUGUAACGGAGGCGCCCAAAGGUUCCCUCAGAAUGGUUGGAAAUCAUUCGCAGAGUGUAAAGGCACAAGGGAGCUUGACUGCGAGACCUACAAGUCGAGCAGGGACGAAAGUCGGGCUUAGUGAUCCGGUGGUUCCGCAUGGAAGGGCCAUCGCUCAACGGAUAAAAGCUACCCCGGGGAUAACAGGCUUAUCUCCCCCAAGAGUCCACAUCGACGGGGAGGUUUGGCACCUCGAUGUCGGCUCAUCGCAUCCUGGGGCUGUAGUCGGUCCCAAGGGUUGGGCUGUUCGCCCAUUAAAGCGGUACGCGAGCUGGGUUCAGAACGUCGUGAGACAGUUCGGUCCCUAUCCGUCGCGGGCGCAGGAAAUUUGAGAGGAGCUGUCCUUAGUACGAGAGGACCGGGAUGGACGCACCGCUGGUGUACCAGUUGUUCUGCCAAGGGCAUCGCUGGGUAGCUAUGUGCGGACGGGAUAAGUGCUGAAAGCAUCUAAGCAUGAAGCCCCCUCAAGAUGAGAUUUCCCAUUCCGCAAGGAAGUAAGAUCCCUGAAAGAUGAUCAGGUUGAUAGGUCUGAGGUGGAAGCGUGGUGACACGUGGAGCUGACAGAUACUAAUAGAUCGAGGACUUAACCUA
rnacentral:rRNA from 1 species